rnacentral:rRNA from 1 species
GAUGAACGCUGGCGGCGUGCCUAAUACAUGCAAGUCGAGCGAACAGACGAGGAGCUUGCUCCUCUGACGUUAGCGGCGGACGGGUGAGUAACACGUGGAUAACCUACCUAUAAGACUGGGAUAACUUCGGGAAACCGGAGCUAAUACCGGAUAACAUGUUGAACCGCAUGGUUCAACAGUGAAAGACGAUUUUGCUGUCACUUAUAGAUGGAUCCGCGUCGCAUUAGCUAGUUGGUAAGGUAACGGCUUACCAAGGCAACGAUGCGUAGCCGACCUGAGAGGGUGAUCGGCCACACUGGAACUGAGACACGGUCCAGACUCCUACGGGAGGCAGCAGUAGGGAAUCUUCCGCAAUGGGCGAAAGCCUGACGGAGCAACGCCGCGUGAGUGAAGAAGGUCUUCGGAUCGUAAAACUCUGUUAUUAGGGAAGAACAAAUGUGUAAGUAACUAUGCACGUCUUGACGGUACCUAAUCAGAAAGCCACGGCUAACUACGUG